rnacentral:piRNA from 1 species
GAGUUUUCCUUUUUACUGUUAAAGUGCA